rnacentral:lncRNA from 1 species
AGGGACACAGAGUGCUAACUAUUCACAGCCAGGACUUUUGGGGUCCCAAAAAGUCUUCCUUCCCACUGGGUAACAUUUCCUUAUCAGUGAACAUCUAGCUUGUUCGUAGUUCUGUUUCUUUAAUUCAGAAAGCAUGCAGGGUGCUAAAUAAAUUCUGGUUGAUUUCUUGUAAGUGUUAGUUGCACAUUAAUAUUAGAUCUUGCAAACAGGAUUUAUUUUGAUCGCUGGAGUCACUAGGACAUUUGAGGAAUGGAAUGUUGGGUUGAGUGUGGGUUAAGGAGACCAGAAUAGAACCUGGUACUUCAGAGCCGGAUGGGCUUUGAGGAUUGAGAGGUCCAGUGUGUUUGGCCUUUGGUGAUUUCUCAUGACCAUAGGACUUCUUUGCAGUGCUAAAAUCAUCAACCGGAAGAGGCAUAUUGGACUUACAAGUGUUCCUCUGACCAGCACCUCCUGGGCUCCAUAGAAUAUCAACCCCUUCUUGAUGGAUCUUCCAUUGAUAAAAUGGCCGUUCUAUAAUGUUCACUUCCGGAA